GACGAACGCUGGCGGCGUGCUUAACACAUGCAAGUCGUACGGUAAGGCCCUUUCGGGGGUACACGGGUGGCGAACGGGUGAGUAACACGUGAGUAACCUGCCCACAACUUUGGGAUAACGCUAGGAAACUGGUGCUAAUACUGGAUAUGUGCUCCUGCUGCAUGGUGGGGGUUGGAAAGCUCCGGCGGUUGUGGAUGGACUCGCGGCCUAUCAGCUUGUUGGUGGGGUAGUGGCCUACCAAGGCGGCGACGGGUAGCCGGCCUGAGGGGGUGACCGGCCACAUUGGGACUGAGAUACGGCCCAGACUCCUACGGGAGGCAGCAGUGGGGAAUAUUGCACAAUGGGCGCAAGCCUGAUGCAGCAACGCCGCGGGCGGGAUGACGGCCUUCGGGUUGUAAACCGCUUUCAGCAGGGACGAAGCUUUUUGUGACGGUACCUGCAGAAGAAGCACCGGCUAACUACGUG
rnacentral:rRNA from 1 species